rnacentral:rRNA from 1 species
UAAGGAAUAUUGGUCAAUGGACGCAAGUCUGAACCAGCCAUGCCGCGUGGAGGAUGAAGGUCCUCUGGAUUGUAAACUUCUUUUAUCUGGGACGAAAAAAGGUUUUUCUAGACCGACUGACGGUACCAGAUGAAUAAGCACCGGCUAACUCCGUGCCAGCAGCCGCGGUAAUACGGAGGGUGCAAGCGUUAUCCGGAUUCACUGGGUUUAAAGGGUGCGUAGGUGGAUUAGUAAGUCAGUGGUGAAAUCUCCGGGCUUAACCCGGAAACUGCCAUUGAUACUAUUAGUCUUGAAUACCGUGGAGGUCAGCGGAAUAUGUCAUGUAGCGGUGAAAUGCUUAGAUAUGACAUAGAACACCAAUUGCGAAGGCAGCUGGCUACACGAAUAUUGACACUCAGGCACGAAAGCGUGGGGAUCAAACAGGAUUAGAUACCCCUGUAGUCC